GGAGAAUAGAUGAUAGGUAACACUAGAAUAGCAUUAGUCUACCAUCUGUGGAGAAUAGAUGAUAGGUAACACUAGAAUAGCAUUAGUCUACCAUCUGUGGAGAAUAGAUGAUAGGUAACACUAGAAUAGCAUUAGUCUACCAUCUGUGGAGAAUAGAUGAUAGGUAACACUAGAAUAGCAUUAGUCUACCAUCUGUGGAGAAUAGAUGAUAGGUAACACUAGAAUAGCAUUAGCCUACCAUCUGUGGAGAAUAGAUGAUAGAUAACACUAGAAUAGCAUUAGUCUACCAUCUGUGGAGAAUAGAUGAUAGGUCACACUAGAAUAGCAUUAGCCUACCAUCUGUGGAGAAUAGAUGAUAGGUAACACUAGAAUAGCAUUAGUCUACCAUCUGUGGAGAAUAGAUGAUAGGUAACACUAGAAUAGCAUUAGUCUACCAUCUGUGGAGAAUAGAUGAUAGGUAACACUAGAAUAGCAUUAGCCUACCAUCUGUGGAGAAUAGAUGAUAGAUAACACUAGAAUAGCAUUAGUCUACCAUCUGUGGAGAAUAGAUGAUAGAUAACACUAGAAUAGCAUUAGUCUACCAUCUGUGGAGAAUAGAUGAUAGAUAACACUAGAAUAGCAUUAGUCUACCAUCUGUGGAGAAUAGAUGAUAGAUAACACUAGAAUAGCAUUAGUCUACCAUCUGAGGAGAAUAGAUGAUAGGUAACACUAGAAUAGCAUUAGUCUACCAUCUGUGGAGAAUAGA